rnacentral:rRNA from 1 species
UACAGAGGGUGCAAGCGUUGUUCGGAAUUAUUGGGCGUAAAGGGCGCGUAGGCGGCGGACACAGUCAGAUGUGAAAUUCCCGGGCUCAACCUGGGGGCUGCAUUUGAUACGUGUUUGCUUGAGUGGGGAAGAGGGUCGUGGAAUUCCCAGUGUAGAGGUGAAAUUCGUAGAUAUUGGGAAGAACACCGGUGGCGAAGGCGGCGACCUGGUCCGAUACUGACGCUGAGGCGCGAAAGCGUGGGGAGCAAACAGG